rnacentral:rRNA from 1 species
UGUGCGAAGAAGGCCUUCGGGUUGUAAAGCACUUUUGUCAGGGAAGAAAUCCUUUGGGCUAAUACCCUAGGGGGAUGACGGUACCUGAAGAAUAAGCACCGGCUAACUACGUGCCAGCAGCCGCGGUAAUACGUAGGGUGCAAGCGUUAAUCGGAAUUACUGGGCGUAAAGCGUGCGCAGGCGGUUUUGUAAGACAGGCGUGAAAUCCCCGGGCUCAACCUGGGAAUGGCGCUUGUGACUGCAAAGCUGGAGUGCGGCAGAGGGGGAUGGAAUUCCGCGUGUAGCAGUGAAAUGCGUAGAUAUGCGGAGGAACACCGAUGGCGAAGGCAAUCCCCUGGGCCUGCACUGACGCUCAUGCACGAAAGCGUGGGGAGCAAACAGGAUUAGAUACCCUGGUAGUCCACGCCCUAAACGA